UGAAUAUUUGUGAUCAACCAAUGACCAGCUAUGGAGGGACGAAGAACAACAAGCAAUAACAAUCCAACAUGAACUCUAUCUCCCCAAUCCGAGCUUUUGCUUGUAAUUUCUAGAAGGAAAACAAAAACAUCUCAAUCUUGGAGAGACAACUUCAGAGAUGGUAUUCAACACUAUGUUAAUUUCAUCGGUGGCCACCGUCUCCGCCGAUGUAUGGCAAUCUGUAGCAUGUGUUCACGACAGAAUUAGCAGCCGAGAAUUGUUAGAUCUGGUGAUUGUAUUUCCUCUUCAACAGUUAGGUCGUCUUGCGCAUUGUAUUUGGACCUGUUUCUGCGUGCCUCCGUCUCCUACUGAUUCUUAUCAUUACUCUUACGCUUAUCAUGAUGUUGAUUCGGAUACGGAUUCCGAUUCUUACAUGAGUUUCUCCGGAGGUGAAGAGGUCUUCGAGUAUGGCUAUUCAUAUUCCGAUUCACAUUCCGACUGAAAUUUUCCUCCUAAGCGUAUUCAGGUAGUUGAUUUUGUCUUUGUUUCAUCCUGUACAGUAACCGUAGUUCCUGCUAUUAGUCAUGAUCAUUAAAAAUCUUACAGUUUUUGUGGUGUUUUUUCAUAUCCUCAAGUGAAUGGAUGUGCUUCUUAAUUUCUGGGCUGUUGAGUUAUUUUGGCAACUUGGUUAUGUAAAUGCAUACAAUAGAGUCCGAAUUGUGCUUAUACCCCGUUGAGCCAAGAUCUACCACGGACUCGACAGGCAAUACGUACCCUCAACACUCUAGGACAAUCUGUAACGUCUGGCCUCUAUUGGAAGGAGCGUGUUAAAGAGUUUCACGUGGCUAGGUUUGAAUCGUUUCUCCAUUGAUAUAUGUUGGAAAAUGCUCUAUUAGAGAGUCUAUGAAUGCUUAUAUUAGCAGAUGAUGUGAUGAAUUAUUGGAUUGGGUGAUCCUCACAUUACCUUCUCUUAUAUUCCUACAAAAAUCAACUUGUUGCUUUAUAA